AGGGAGAAGAAGGAUUCAGAGGAGGAGGAAGACAAAAGUGGAGCAGAAGCACACGGCCUGGAGAAUCCGUGUGUCUUUCGCUGCAAGAACUGCAAGUGUGCCUGGUGGUCCUUCCGAGCCGUCUCAGCUUUCACAUCCUCCAGUUCCUUCUCUAACAUCUGGAUUUUCAUCUCCUGGCUCUUCUGUAUGGAGGAAAUGUGCUCCAUUGACUGAAACUGCUGCUCCAACUGGGACUGCUUGAUUUUUCCCUGGAAGAGUUGUGUUUGAAGCUCCUCAGUUUGCUUGGCGAACCUGAGUUUCCUGCCUCCAGGUUCCUGUCUUGAGCUCCUGGCCCUGACUUCUUUGGAUGAUGAACUGUGAUACAGAAGAAAAAGAUGAAAUAAACCCUUUCUCAAUGUU
rnacentral:lncRNA from 1 species